CUGAUCUCAAAUCAGGUAGGACUUCCCGCUGAACUUAAGCAUAUCAAUAAGCGGAGGA
rnacentral:rRNA from 1 species